rnacentral:lncRNA from 1 species
AUUUUUGUCUUUUCAACAUGUUGAAAUACUGAUUUGCAGAUAGGUGGUUCUGACUUCAGUUGACCAACCAGAAACUCAUGUGCAAUAGCAGAGCGAACAGAUUGUCAACUAUUUGGAGACAGAGACUGUCUUAUGUAUACAUACAGUGCCUAGCAUAUGGGAAUCUGGAUUUCAGAUGGAGUCUUUAAAAAGUGUGUGCUCUCUCUCUCAAGAAUUACAGAUCUCUAAAUAUCCAAGUUGGGACUGUUCAGCUGUUGGCCCAUGGCCAUAUGCAGCCCAUGAAGAGAUGAUUUGCAGCCCCUGGUCUUGUCUUGACAGAGGCUUUCCUCACUGCUGCAGCCAGGAUCGCCAGGCUCCCCCUCCUGUCUCUCUCUCACUUUCGGCUCCUGCAGGGCAGGGUAGGGUGGCACAGCUCGGUAUAGCCUUUAGUGCCAGGGAGCUCAUAGCACAAUACAGUGGAGGAGCCUGCAGCCAAGGAGGUUGGAGGGUGGGGCUGGCCUAUCUGCCUGCAUGGUGCAACCAUGGGGGGAGCUUCCUGCUUAUGCAUGUAGUGCAGUAGUGGGAAGGGGGGGGUGCCAAGGGAGCUUGAACCUGGGAAAGUGAAGAGGAGCUGUAGCCCCUACUAUGUGCAGCCCCAGGCCACCAAGCGUUGUACAGCCCUAACCGAAGUGAUUCCUGUAAUAUGGUCUGAGUUCUGGUGGUGCUGGGAGGGGGGUUACAGGGGAGCUAUGGUGAAUUUUGGAGUAGUUGCAGCCCGCCCCCUACCUCCAUAGCCCCUCUCUCAGUGCCACUGCCUCCCGCCCUGAGUGCAGCCCAGCUCAGACCCCCCACCAGGAAGAGCCCAGCACAGCCCCCAGUCCACAGCAGUAGCCUGCCCUUUCCCUGUGUGCAGAUCUGGGGGACAUACCCCACUAUGCCUUCCCAAGGUAUGCGCAGGGGUGGGAGCUGCCUGCAUCCCCCGGAUGAACUGCUUGUAGCUCUGUCCCGCACCCCGCCCUGGCUGUGCAAUGCCUGCCUCUACCCCAGCCCUACUCCCUCACUUCUGGGGCCUUGAUCUGCCCCUCCCCAUCAUGCCUGUUCACUCCCUCCUGUUAAUGUUAACAUUAAAAACAAGAAAAAAUGUAAAGGGGUAUGUGAGAUGAAACUUUGAGACGAGGGGUACACUUGUUAAAAAAGGUUGAAAACCUCUGCUUUAUCAUACUGGGGGGCCUUGUUAUGUUCAGCCUUGUAUUAGAUACCAUGGCGAGCAGGCAUAUCUCUACCUCAUGUUAUUUUAUACCAGGGGUCAUGGUUUCUUUUCAUUGUAGAAAAGAACCUGUUACCACUAUCAGUGGGAAUCUAGGGAACAUAGUAGAGGUACCUUAAAUAGAACAAAAUAAAGGUAAAAUAGAGCAUGCA